AAGUUACAGGAGAAUUAACCUUUUCCUCCUCUUCUUUCAGAGGCUUCCACGGCUCCCAGUGUGCUCAGGGACUGAAAAGCAAAGAGUUGGCUGAUUUCCUUUUAUCCUCCCAAGGGCAUAUACCUGUUUAGAAAUGCUGGCUCCAAGGACAGCUGGGAAAGGAAGAAGACACUUCUUCGUUGGAGAAGUUCAGUCUGAGCUACUGCAUUAGCUAAACGAUGCUGAAGGAGAGUUUUUUUUUCCUGAACAAAACCGUGAGAGAAAUUCCCUGGCUUGUUUCCCCUGCUGUCUAUAUAUCAUCCUAGCAGCAGGAGUCAAGUUUGCUUUGAUUUGGGAGUCCAUUACACCAUGAUAAUAUGAUUGUUUCAAGGAACACUUUCUGGUACGUACAACAUGCUUUUACCUGUACUUGCAACACAAAACAACUGUAAACCUAUUGC
rnacentral:lncRNA from 1 species